rnacentral:rRNA from 1 species
CCUACGGGAGGCUGCAGUGGGGAAUAUUGCGCAAUGGGCGAAAGCCUGACGCAGCGACGCCGCGUGAGGGAUGAAGGUCUUCGGAUCGUAAACCUCUGUCAGCAGGGAAGAACGGUCACUGUGCUAAUCAGCAGUGAAUUGACGUUACCUGCAAAGGAAGCACCGGGUAACUCCGUGCCCGCAGCCUCGGCAAUACGGAGGGUGCGAGCGUUAAUCGGAGUGACUGGGCGUAAAGGGCUCGUAGGCGGUAUGUCAAGUCAAGGGUGAAAUCCCCGGGCUCAAGAUGGGAACUGCCUUUGAAACUGGCAAACUUGAGUGUGUGAGAGGAUAGUGGAAUUCCAGGUGUAGGAGUGAAAUCCGUAGAUAUCUGGAGGAACAUCAGUGGCGAAGGCGACUAUCUGGCACAUAACUGACGCUGAGGAGCGAAAGCGUGGGUAGCAAACAGGAUUAGAUACCCCAGUAGUC